rnacentral:rRNA from 1 species
UACGAAGGGGGCUAGCGUUGCUCGGAAUUACUGGGCGUAAAGGGCGCGCAGGCGGCUCUGAAAGUCAGACGUGAAAGCCCCGGGCUUAACCUGGGAAUUGCAUUUGAUACUCUGGAGCUUGAGUGUGGGAGAGGAGAGUGGAAUUCCCAGUGUAGAGGUGAAAUUCGUAGAUAUUGGGAAGAACACCGGUGGCGAAGGCGGCUCUCUGGGACCACAACUGACGCUGAGGCGCGAAAGCUAGGGGAGCAAACGGG